rnacentral:rRNA from 1 species
UUUGUUUAUUAUUUAAAGUCUGGCCUGCCCAAUGAUUAUUUAAAUGGCCGCAGUAUUUUGACUGUGCAAAGGUAGCAUAAUCAUUAGUUUUUUAAUUAGGAGCUGGAAUGAAUGGUUUAAUGAAAAAUUAACUGUCUCAGUUUAGUUGUUUUUGAAUUUUAUUUUUAAGUGAAAAAGCUUAAAUGUUUUAGAAAGACGAGAAGACCCUAUAGAGUUUAAUAGUUUGAUUGUUAAAAUUUUUAGGUUUUAUUUAUUUUGGUGGUUUAGGACUAUUUUGUUGGGGUGACGUUAAAAUUUAAUUAACUUUUAUUAUUUAUUACACUGAUUAGUGGUUUGAUGAUCCUAUUUUUUAGAUUAUAAGAUAAAAUUACCUUAGGGAUAACAGCGUAAUUUUUUUGGAAAGUUCUUAUUGAUAAAAAAGUUUGCGACCUCGAUGUUGGAUUAAAAUUUAUUUUGGGUGUAGAAGUUCAAAUAUUAGGCCUGUCCGACCUU